ensembl:lncRNA
CUUGGGGCUGCGGAGACAUAGCCAGAGGCCAGGCCAGAGCUGGAGCAGUACGGGUGGCGGGGAGGGCAGGGGUCGAUGGCCCGCAGACCACCCACUGGGUGCUGACCAUGGGGAGCAGCAGAGUCAGGGAAAGAAGAAAAAUGAGCUCAAGAAAAAGAAGUCUGCACAUGAAAACAUCUCUAGGCUGAGCCGGAGGGGCGAGAAAGGAGAGGUGCCCCAUCAGCGGUCCCUUCCACUGUGGCAGGAACUUUCCAUCCCAGUUCCAGCGUCUUUCUCCUCUUCCACCACACCCUCCCACCCCUGCUGGGCUUGGCUUCCUAAAGCCACCCUCUGGUGUCACUUAUCUGCCCAAAGCCCCUUGGCCCCUGCCCACUCUUCACAGUGUGGAGUGACAGCACCUUGCCUGGUGUCUCAGGCCCUCUGCACUCCGGUUGCAGCCUCACCCUGGCAUCUGAUCUCCCGCUGCUGCUCUACCCAGCUCCCUCCCUGUGUCUGGUGAGCUAUUUCCUGAUCACAUCUGAGCUUUCCAGCAGGGCAGAUUCCAGGGGACAGGCUUGACAGACUCCAUGAAUGCAUUACCUGGAGCUGUCAGCCUGUACGACCAGAGGGCCUCGGGCCUUUGUGCUUGCUGCUUCCUUGUUCUAGAGGGCCAUCCUCUCCCAGCCGCCUGUGAAAACCAAACUCUUCUUCAAAUGCCACUUCUUCCAGGAAGUCCUUGGGGAUCACCACUGCUUGAAAGGGUAGCUCAUGUAAAUGG